rnacentral:rRNA from 1 species
UACGUAGGGUGCGAGCGUUGUCCGGAAUUAUUGGGCGUAAAGGGCUCGUAGGCGGUUUGUCGCGUCGGGAGUGAAAACACUGGGCUUAACUCAGUGCUUGCUUCCGAUACGGGCAGACUAGAGGUAUUCAGGGGAGAACGGAAUUCCUGGUGUAGCGGUGAAAUGCGCAGAUAUCAGGAGGAACACCGGUGGCGAAGGCGGUUCUCUGGGAAUAUCCUGACGCUGAGGAGCGAAAGUGUGGGGAGCGAACAGG